rnacentral:lncRNA from 1 species
CUUGCUCGCUGCUGCUGCCACGUAAGAAGUGUGUUGCUUCCCCUUCGUCUUCCACCAUGAAUAACAGAACGGCAAUUUUCACGUGGUGUUAAUUUCCGUGGAAGAAGAAAAGGCUCGACUCUCUGUCCUACUUUUCAUGAAUACUGGAAGUAGGGAAUAAAUCUGGAGUCUCACGGGUGAAAAGAGACAUUUCCAUAUUACCAGACCACAAACGUGGGUGUUGAUUCUAAGGAUACCCCCAAUAAACAUCUUUCGUGCUAAAGCCCAUUCCAGAAUUUACUUCCCAGCUAUCUUUGAUGUUCAUAUUGUCAGAGGUGGUGGCCACUGAAAUAGGCAAAGACAUGGAGCAUAUCUUGGGUCCAGGUAAAGGAGGUGGGUGCACACAAGUGAAAAGAUGUUGCUGAAGUCACGUGGCUUCAAGCAGUAGAGCUGACUGUCCUCUAGUCCAGUUGUCCCUACAGGAUGAAAGCUUCUCUCCAUUACAGAGACCUUGGGAGUCCAGAGGAAGGUCUUUUUACCAUCAGCAUUCUCUACUGUGUUCAAGGACUGUCAGCCAAAGAUGGCCAGGUUCUCUACUGUGAUGGUGAAUUUUAUGUGUCAAUUUGACUGGACCAUGGGAUGCCCAGCUUUCCUUCAGAAAGAAAUGCAUUCAAAGAACCUACAUUCACAACAUAAAGAAAUAAAGCCUGCACCUACAGAUCUACACACAUGCCCAUGCACAUGCAGGAAGUGUUCAUCAAAGACCGGACCUUUUAGAAGAAAGCUGGCAUACAUUCGUGAAGGCAUGGGCUUCCAGGCAUGUCAUCUUCACUCACGAAGUACACACAAGACCGCCAAGCAUUAAGAUUCUCCUGUGGAGCCAGGCAACAAUCCUUUAAAUGAAGACAGACAGCUAGGUGGCUGCAGCCCAGCGCUACACCUCACCCCUCCCUCAGUGUCAUGCAGAAAAAAUGUAUUCAGAAGUCAGAAGUGAAGUUGUGCAAAUCCAUCAUUGACACUAGCUUCAGGGUUACCUCGGGGGAGCUGAAUGUACCCCUGCCAGAGAGCUGGAUGGAUGAUGAUGGGGACAGAAAUUCUGGGGGAGUUGUAAAUGGCAGCCACUGCCUCUAUAGGAAACCCAAAGGGAACACAGCAGAAGAGGAGGUGGUGGAGGAGCCACUGCCCUCUCGAAGGGUUCGAUGUCAUUCUGCAGACACAACCAAAUAACUUUUUCUUCCCUGCUGCUCCUCCAUUUGAAAUGACAGCCCCGAGCUCGCUUUUUCCUUGAUUGUGUAACUCUGAUUACAGACAAGGCCAAGGCAAUCCCAGGGCUUUACUACAAAGCUAAGGGGUCCCCAAAGAACUAAAGAGUCAGCUCCACAAAAAUCCCAAUUCCUAGCAUGAAACUGAAAUAUGAAACCAAACGGGCGUAGAAAAGGUAUGUGCAUUCGAAUCACAUAGCAGUGACUGGAGUCCUGAGCUGUGUCUGAAGACUGUGAGAUCACGUUUGGAGCUGCUGAUUGGUUUUCAGUGAUGGCCCCAUUGCACAGUGCCGUGAGACUUAGCUCCGUGGCCAAAGACGAUGGUAUCCCCUAGGAGCCCUGUGAGGUUGCUGCUGUUCUCUUAAGACACCAGGUAGCCAUCUGAUCUUCCCUGAGCAAACUAACUGGGCAGACAGGUUUAUUAAACCUCUGUUGGUCCGACUUACAUGAAACAAGAGAGUUAUUUUGUUGUUGUUGUUUUGUUUUGUUUUAAAUUAAACCUGUCUUUGGAGCCUCCUG